rnacentral:rRNA from 1 species
CAGGUCUUGACAUCCUCUGACAACCCUAGAGAUAGGGCUGUCUCCUUCGGGCGACAGAGUGACAGGUGGUGCAUGGUUGUCGUCAGCUCGUGUCGUGAGAUGUUGGGUUAAGUCCCGCAACGAGCGCAACCCUUGAUAUUAGUUGCCAGCAUUCAGUUGGGCACUCUAAGGUGACUGCCGGUGACAAACCGGAGGAAGGUGGGGAUGACGUCAAAUCAUCAUGCCCUUUAUGACCUGGGUUACACACGUGCUACAAUGGAUGGUACAAAGGGCUGCAAACCUGCGAAGGUAAGCGAAUCCCAUAAAGCCAUUCUCAGUUCGGAUUGUAGGUUGCAACUUGCGUACAUGAAGCCGGAAUCGCUAGUAAUCGCGGAUCAGCAUGCCGCGGUGAAUACGUCCCCGGGCUU